AACAAUAUGGCGGUGACAUGAACAGGUGCCCGCUAAGAAUUAAUUGAACAAAAACAACCCGCAAUCUAAGAUAAUAAGGAUACAAGUAUGGCGCUUGUAAAACUUGAGGAAACACUCGGGCGUCCAGCCUGGGGACGAGAUCAUACCAAAAGUAAAAAGAGCAACUUGCCAAACCGUAAUGGAAAGCCUCCAACAAUUGAUUAUGAAAAACUGAGAUGGCUGAAUAAUUUAGAAGGACUGAAAGGAAGAGACUACAGAGAAUCAUCUGAGGAUGCACACGAUGUAUUCAUGAAGAGUUAUCACCACAUGUUUGUCAAACCAGAGAAAAAAGCUGGUUUUCCCAUCCAUGCUGCCAAAAGACUUGAACAGCAAAAGUCAACAUUAUCAACUGUCACUUACAGAGCAACAGGAAAAACAACAGAAGCAGAUAAGACCAUAGCCAGGAAACAGUACCCUAUAGACGAAAUUACAUAUGACAUUAGAGAUUAUCUCCCCUUGUUGCACAAACAGCGUCAGAGUGAGCACCCGGAGGCUAUUUAUAGAUCGAACAUGAGAACACUUCGGAAACUUCUGAAAAAAUUGCCAUUUGAAAGGACAGCUUCAGAAAAUGACAAAAUGUUUUCCAUCUUGAAAACAAUUGAGUUUUUCCAAGAUAAAUUCCCGUCCACUGUCCUGAAGGAGUUGUGUGUUGUGGCGGUGUGUGAACAGUGGAAGGAUCCAGGGUUUUCAGUGUUCGGUAACACCAGCGUGUACAUGGUCCUGCGAGGGACAGUAUCACCGACCAGCCACCCUUACCUGGAUGACAUGGUAAAUGUCAACGAGAAAGGACAGCCAGGCUCACCCAGGUCACGCAAGACAGAAUCGGAUGGGGCGCUACUACUUGGACAAGGAGAUGUGUUCGGGACACUGAGGAAACAUGAGAAAGAUGAGCAAGGCAAUAAACCUUUUAGUGUUAUAACCAAUGAACCUAAUUGUGAAUUCAUGAAGAUUUCCUCAGCAGAUUAUAACCGGAUCAUUGAGCAAAUCAAACAGAGGGAGCACACAGAGAAGGUGAACCUCCUGUUAUCAUGUGGCCAGUACAAACUCUGGCCUCGCCAACCUCUCUUACAGGUGGCUGAAUUAAUCGAGUGGAUAUCGUGUCCUCCAAACACCAUACUUGCCAGUGAAGGGUACAAGGCCCCAUACAUAGGGUUUAUUAAGUCAGGGGAAUGCCACGUCCUCAGACAAGUAGAAGUCAUGUCAGAGAAACAUGCCAAAAGGGAGAGGAGAACCAAACAGGUAGUGAUGGGGAAGCUGAAUGACUCGGAGUCAUUUGCUGAGCUAAGCAUUCUCCUUGAUGAACCAAUCACCUGCUCUAUAGUGACAGCUACCAAUGUACAGCUGGGCAUAAUAAAACCAGAGAGAGUCGAAGAACUAGAUGAAGUGACUAUCCAGUUAUUCAAGCAAUCAAAUGUGAGGACGUUUGGAGAUCUAUCAAAGGAUAAUAUCCAGGAUGAAUACAUGCACCAAGAACUAAAGCGAGAGUGGAAUGAAUUCAAACACGGUGUUGUGGUCGAUGUGAUUAACUAUCGUGGUAUACGACCCGGCUAUGGCAAGUGGGCAAAGUGACCUUGACCUCACAAAAAAGUGACCUUAGAUCUAAACUGUGCUAAAAAUAUAUAAAAAAGAUAUUAUUUUGUCUAAAACAAGAAGUGAAGAGACAUACAGGUUAGACGUGUGACUGAACUGGAUGUAUUAACUUUGUGUAUUCCUGGCAUGUAGAUCAUGUUUAGGCUAUAUUCCCCGACUGAUAGACAAUCAAUAUGAACCCAUUUAGUGUCAAAAUCAUACAUCAACAGAAGCAGCCUGUGUGUUUGAGGGCUGGACAGGACUCGGAUAUAUAUUUGAUGAGUGACCCUGAUGGUUGUUCAGUAUUGGAACGUAGAUGCCUAAAAUAAUCAUGUAUGCUAUUUUAUGAUUAAGUUAAUGUGUAUCAGUGCCACCAUCAACCCACUGAUUCCUAGAAAAAGUGGCAGGAUUGUGACAAAGCUGGAUUACCUCAACAAAUUUGCAAUAAAAUACUACAUUGCCUCCUAAAUCACCGGCUUGAUAGUAGGACAACUGCAUAAUUUACAGCUGCAAAUAUGUAGCCAGUUAGGUGCUGGCAGUAUCGCAGUACAGUGCUCCAACCAGAUAAAAGGUGGCAGUAUAUUGGUACAGCCUGAUAAAAGGUGGCAGUAUAUUGGUACAGACAGAUAAAAGGUGGCAGUAUAUUGGUACAACCUGAUAAAAGGUGGCAGUAUAUUGGUACAACCUAAUAAAUGGUGGCAGUAUAUUGGUACAGAUAGAUAAAAGGUGGCAGUAUAUUGGUACAGCCUGAUAAAAGGUGGCAGUAUAUUGGUACAGCCUGAUAAAACGUGACAGUAUAUUGGUACAGACAGAUAAAAGGUGGCAGUAUAUUGGUACAGCCAGAUAAAAGGUGGCAGUAUAUUGGCACAACCAGAUAAAAGGUGGCAGUAUAUUGGUACAGACAGAUAAAAGGUGGCAGUAUAUUGGUACAACCUGAUAAAAGGUGGCAGUAUAGUGGCACAGCCUGAUAAAAGGUGGCAGUAUAUUGGUACAGCCUGAUAAAAGGUGGCAGUAUAUUGGUGCAACCUGAUAAAAGGUGGCAGAAUAUUGGUACAGCCAGAUAAAAGGAGGCAGGAUAUUGGUACAGCCUGAUAAAAGGUGGCAGUAUAUUGGUACAACCUGAUAAAAGGUGGCAGUAUAUUGGUACAGACAGAUAAAAGGUGGCAGUAUAUUGGUACAGCCUGAUAAAAGGUGGCAGUAUAGUUGCACAACCAGAUAAAAGGUGGCAGUAUAGCUGCACAACCAGAUAAAAGGUGGCAGUAUAGUGGCACAACCAGAUGAAAGGUGGCAGUAUACUUUGGUUACAGUGCUGUAACUCAGUGAUAGUUUGGUUACAGUGUUGUAACUCUGUGAUACUUUGGUGACAGUGUUGUAACUCUGUGAUACUGUCUCCUUGUGUGCAAUUUGUACUUUAAUGUUAAACAUUUUUCAAAAAGUUGUUUGUUAUGUUUUGUCUUUCCUAUUUCACAUUAUUUAAAAUGGAAUUACAUGUAUCAAUAAAUCCUCUAUAU